rnacentral:rRNA from 1 species
UGGGGAAUAUUGGACAAUGGGCGCAAGCCUGAUCCAGCCAUGCCGCGUGAGUGAUGAAGGCCCUAGGGUUGUAAAGCUCUUUCACCGGUGAAGAUAAUGACGGUAACCGGAGAAGAAGCCCCGGCUAACUUCGUUCCAGCAGCCGCGGUAAUACGAAGGGGGCUAGCGUUGUUCGGAUUUACUGGGCGUAAAGCGCACGUAGGCGGACUUUUAAGUCAGGGGUGAAAUCCCGGGGCUCAACCCCGGAACUGCCUUUGAUACUGGAAGUCUUGAGUAUGGUAGAGGUGAGUGGAAUUCCGAGUGUAGAGGUGAAAUUCGUAGAUAUUCGGAGGAACACCAGUGGCGAAGGCGGCUCACUGGACCAUUACUGACGCUGAGGUGCGAAAGCGUGGGGAGCAAACAGG